GUUGUAUGGUUAAGUGACUAAGCGUACACGGUGGAUGCCUUGGCAGUCAGAGGCGAUGAAAGGCGUAAUAACUUGCGAUAAGCCCAGAUUAGGUAGUAAUAACCUUUAAGUCUGGGAUUCCUGAAUG
rnacentral:rRNA from 1 species